UACGGGGGGAGCAAGCGUUGUUCGGAUUUACUGGGCGUAAAGGGCGCGUAGGCGGCGCAACAAGUCACUUGUGAAAUCUCCGGGCUUAACCCGGAGCGGCCAAGUGAUACUGUCGUGCUAGAGUGCGGAAGGGGCUACUGGAAUUCUCGGUGUAGCGGUGAAAUGCGUAGAUAUCGUAAGGAAGACCAGUGGCGAAGGCGGGUCUCUGGACAGUUCCUGACGCUGAGGCACGAAGGCCAGGGGAGCAAACGGG
rnacentral:rRNA from 1 species